rnacentral:rRNA from 1 species
GAUGAACGCUGGCGGCGUGCCUAAUACAUGCAAGUCGAGCGAACAGACGAGGAGCUUGCUCCUCUGACGUUAGCGGCGGACGGGUGAGUAACACGUGGAUAACCUACCUAUAAGACUGGGAUAACUUCGGGAGACCGGAGCUAAUACCGGAUAAUAUAUUGAACCGUAUGGUUCAAUAGUGAAAGACGGUUUUGCUGUCACUUAUAGAUGGAUCCGCGCCGCAUUAGCUAGUUGGUAAGGUAACGGCUUACCAAGGCAACGAUGCGUAGCCGACCUGAGAGGGUGAUCGGCCACACUGGAACUGAGACACGGUCCAGACUCCUACGGGAGGCAGCAGUAGGGAAUCUUCCGCAAUGGGCGAAAGCCUGACGGAGCAACGCCGCGUGAGUGAUGAAGGUCUUCGGAUCGUAAAACUCUGUUAUUAGGGAAGAACAAAUGUGUAAGUAACUAUGCACGUCUUGACGGUACCUAAUCAGAAAGCCACGGCUAACUACGUG